GUGUCAGCAGCCGCGGUAAUACGGAGGUUGCGAGCGUUGUUCGGAAUGACUGGGCGUAAAGGGAGCGCAGGCGGUUCGGAAAGUCUAAAGUGGAAGCCCGGGGCUUAACCUCGGAAGUGCUUUGGAUACUACCGAACUCGAGUUCGUGAGAGGAAAGCGGAAUUCCAGGUGUAGCGGUGAAAUGCGUAGAUAUCUGGAGGAACACCGGUGGCGAAAGCGGCUUUCUGGCACGAUACUGACGCUGAGGCUCGAAAGCAUGGGGAGCGAACAGGAUUAGAUACCCUGGUAGUCCAUGCUGUAAACGUUGUGCACUAGGUGUGGGAGGUAUCGACCCCUUCCGUGCCGCAGCUAACGCAUUAAGUGCACCGCCUGGGGAGUACGGUCGCAAGACUGAA
rnacentral:rRNA from 1 species